rnacentral:rRNA from 1 species
UACGUAGGGCGCAAGCGCUGUCCGGAAUUAUUGGGCGUAAAGAGCUCGUAGGCGGUUUGUCGCGUCUGCUGUGAAAACUCGGGGCUUAACCCCGGGCCUGCAGUGGGUACGGGCAGACUAGAGUGCGGUAGGGGAGACUGGAAUUCCUGGUGUAGCGGUGAAAUGCGCAGAUAUCAGGAGGAACACCGGUGGCGAAGGCGGGACUCUGGGCCGAUACUGACGCUGAGGAGCGAAAGCGUGGGGAGCGAACAGG